rnacentral:rRNA from 1 species
CAGAUUGAACGCUAACGGCACGCUUAACACAUGCAAGUCGAACGGCAGCGGGAGGAAAGCUUGCUUUCUUUGCCGGCGAGUGGCGUACGGGUGAGUAAUGCGUAGGGACUUGUCAUUUAGAGGGGGAUAACCUGGGGAAACCCAGGCUAAUACCGCAUAAAUUCUACGCAACAAAAAGAGGGGAUCUUUAUUGACCUUCUGCUAUUUGAGAGACCUACGUUGGAUUAGCUAGUUGGUAGGGUAAGAGCCUACCAAGGCAACGAUCCAUAGCUGUUCUGAGAGGAAGAUCAGCCACACUGGAACUGAGACACGGACCAGACUCCUACGGGAGGCAGCAGUGGGGAACCUUGGACAAUGGGGGAAACCCUGAUCCAGCGAUGCCGUGUGUGUGAAGAAGGCCUAAGGGUUGUAAAGCACUUUAGGUAGGGAGGAGAAGCAGAUAAUGAAUAAUUGUCUGUGGAGACGUUACCUACAGAAUAAGCACCGGCUAACUCUGUGCCAGCAGCCGCGGUAAUACAGAGGGUGCAAGCGUUAAUCGGAUUGAUUGGGCGUAAAGGGCGCGUAGGCGGUUAGAUAAGUUGGAUGUGAAAUACUCAGGCUUAACCUGAGAACUGCAUCCAAAACUAUCUUACUAGAGUACAGAAGAGGGAAGUGGAAUUUCCAGUGUAGCAGUGAAACGCGUAGAUAUGGAAGGAACACCAGUGGCGAAGGCGGCUUCCUGGUCUGAAACUGACGCUGAGGCGCGAGAGCAUGGGGAGCAAACAGGAUUAGAUACCCUGGUAGUCCAUGCUGUAAACGAUGAGAACUAGCUGUUUAUGUUGAAAGAUAUGAGUGGCGAAGCUAACGCGAUAAGUUCUCCGCCUGAGGAGUACGGCCGCAAGGCUAAAACUCAAAGGAAUUGACGGGGGCCCGCACAAGCGGCGGAGCAUGUGGUUUAAUUCGACGCUACGCGAAGAACCUUACCUACCCUUGACAUCCUACGAGUCUGCAAGAGAUUGUGGAGUGCCCGAAAGGGAGCGUAAAGACAGGUGCUGCAUGGCUGUCGUCAGCUCGUGUCGUGAGAUGUAGGGUUAAGUCCCGUAACCGAGCGGCAGCCCUUAUCAUUAGUUACCAAGUUUGCGGAAGCAAAAGGGACUCUAAUGAGGCUGCCAGGAUAAGCUGGAAGGAAGGUGAGGACNAAGUCAAGUCAUCAUGACCUUUAUGGGUAGGGCUACACACGUGCUACAAUGGGAAGUACAGAGGGAGGCANCCCGCGAGGGCAGCAGA